GCGUAAGCGCACGCAGGCGGUCUGUUAAGUCAGAUGUGAAAUCCCCGGGCUUAACCUGGGAACUGCAUUUGAAACUGGCAGGCUUGAGUCUCGUAGAGGGGGGUAGAAUUCCAGGUGUAGCGGUGAAAUGCGUAGAGAUCUGGAGGAAUACCGGUGGCGAAGGCGGCCCCCUGGACGAAGACUGACGCUCAGGUGCGAAAGCGUGGGGAGCAAACAGGAUUAGAUACCCUGGUAGUCCACGCCGUAAACGAUGUCGACUUGGAGGUUGUGCCCUUGAGGCGUGGCUUCCGGAGCUAACGCGUUAAGUCGACCGCCUGGGGAGUACGGCCGCAAGGUUAAAACUCAAAUGAAUUGACGGGGGCCCGCACAAGCGGUGGAGCAUGUGGUUUAAUUCGAUGCAACGCGAAGAACCUUACCUGGCCUUGACAUCCAGAGAACUUAGCAGAGAUGCUUUGGUGCCUUCGGGAACUCUGAGACAGGUGCUGCAUGGCUGUCGUCAGCUCGUGUUGUGAAAUGUUGGGUUAAGUCCCGCAACGAGCGCAACCCUUAUCCUUUGUUGCCAGCGGUUCGGCCGGGAACUCAAAGGAGACUGCCGGUGAUAAAC
rnacentral:rRNA from 1 species